CUUUCCGUAUAUAUAUAUUAAAGCUCCUGCAUUUGUAACAAAUUAUUCAGUUAAGCUUUUGCCGCAGUCGGUCAAUAUUUGUUGUUAAAGAAGCUUUAUUAUUAACUAUAGUUUGGGGUUAUAUUUAUUAUAUUUUCCUCAAAAGCUUUGUGUGCUAUUGCUGAGUGUGAUCAUAAAAACAAAUUCCAGUGAUUUAUAAAACUACUCUAUCCCGGAAGAUUGAUUUGUCAACUUUUCAUCAGAGCUCCAAUAUAAAAAAUAACAUUCACAAUGGCAUCAAAUGCAGGCAUCAACACAGAAAACGUACAAUUUUUUGAAGGUGUUGAAAAACUACUUGAGAUUUGGUUUACCAAUUCUCAUAAAGAAGAUCAUAAGGGAGAUCUUCGAGAUAUUCCAAGACAUCGCUGGGAGUCACUCCUGAAAAUUGUUCGCUGUGAGAUUAUCAGUUUCUGCCAAAAUGAGGACAUAGAAGCUUACGUUCUUAGUGAAAGCAGUCUGUUUGUGUCUAAGCGUCGGUUGAUUUUAAAGACCUGUGGUACAACUACUCCGUUGCAGUGUAUGGAAGCACUACUUGAUCUGGUUGAAGAAUAUACUGGAUUUGACGAAGUAGAGGAUUUAUGUUACUCUCGAAAAAACUACAAACAACCGGAGUUGCAAAUAUCGCCUCAUUGCUCUUUUGAAGAAGAAGUCGCUUUAUUGGACUCAAUAUUUUCUGAUGGCGAAGCUUAUUGCUUAGGAGACGCUGAUAAAAAUUGUUGGUAUUUAUAUACUUUGAACCGUAAGAGGUCAUCUCAAGGACCCAAAGAACCUGAUCAGACUUUGGAAAUACUGAUGACCAACCUCAAUUCUGAUGUUAUGUCUCUUUUCACUCGUGAAAGAUGCUCAUCUGCUGCUGAAGCUACCAAAAAAUCUGGAAUAGAUCGAAUAAUUCCGAACAUGGUCAUUGAUGAUUUCCUUUUUGAACCUUGUGGUUAUUCCAUGAAUGGAGUUUCUAAGAAUGGAAGCUAUAUGACAAUCCACAUCACUCCAGAGCCCGAAUUUUCUUAUGUUUCCUUUGAAACUAACAUUCCUGCAAGCAAUUACGAAGAUUUAAUAAAAAGUGUUUUAGAAACAUUUCAACCUGAAAAUUUUGUGAUAAUAAUGUUUGCUAACAAGGAAUCGAUUGCAGCCAACACUCCACUUAAGUUUAAACAAGUAAAUUAUCUAAACUUCAAUGGGGAGUGGUUACGUGAUGAUAUUCAGUAUUGUCGAUUCAAAAAUUAUGAUCUCACUUGUGCAUUUUAUUCGAAAUUUCCAAGCUGACGGUUCCAAGAAAACCUAUCUCAAGUUCCUAUUGUAAAGAACAUUGAUAGGAAGAAUACUUGUCUAAGUAAUUCUCAUGUUUAUCAAUCUCAAAGCAACAAAAAAUUUGUUUACUAUAAUCGAACUCUAGAAGAAAUGUUGAGGAAAUAGUCAGAGAAGUAACGUUGGAAGUAACUUUUUCCUUUCCAAUAACUUAGUAUGAAGAAUUCCAAUCUUCAGGAAAUGAUGUUUUUAAAAAUAAAAAAAUUUUAUGUUAAAAAAAUGUUUAUAUCUAUUAUUAAUAUCGAGAAUUAUUCAGGAUGAUAAAUGCUUAUUGUAAAUCAUGUUAAUUUUGAAAUAAUACUAUCAAUAUUGAUAAUAAAUACUAAAGAUGUUUAAUGACACUCAAA